rnacentral:rRNA from 1 species
GGACGAACGCUGGCGGCGUGCUUAACACAUGCAAGUCGAGCGGUAAGGCCCUUUCGGGGUACGACGAGCGGCGAACGGGUGAGUAACACGUGGGUGACCUGCCUUUAGCUCUGGGGAUAAGCCUGGGAAACCGGGUCUAAUACCGGAUAUGACUCCGCGGCGCAUGUUGUGGGGUGAAAGCCUUGUGCGGCUGGAGAUGGGCCCG